GUGCCAGCAGCCGCGGUAAUACGUAGGGGGCAAGCGUUGUCCGGAUUUAUUGGGCGUAAAGCGCGCGCAGGUGGUUUCUUAAGUCUGAUGUGAAAGCCCCCGGCUCAACCGGGGAGGGUCAUUGGAAACUGGGAGACUUGAGUGCAGAAGAGGAUAGUGGAAUUCCAAGUGUAGCGGUGAAAUGCGUAGAGAUUUGGAGGUACACCAGUGGCGAAGGCGACUGUCUGGUCUGUAACUGACACUGAGGCGCGAAAGCGUGGGGAGCAAACAGGAUUAGAAACCCGGGUAGUCC
rnacentral:rRNA from 1 species